rnacentral:rRNA from 1 species
GACGAACGCUGGCGGCGUGCUUAACACAUGCAAGUCGAACGGAAAGGCCCUGCUUUUGUGGGGUGCUCGAGUGGCGAACGGGUGAGUAACACGUGAGUAACCUGCCCUUGACUUUGGGAUAACUUCAGGAAACUGGGGCUAAUACCGGAUAGGAGCUCCUGCUGCAUGGUGGGGGUUGGAAAGUUUCGGCGGUUGGGGAUGGACUCGCGGCUUAUCAGCUUGUUGGUGGGGUAGUGGCUCACCAAGGCUUUGACGGGUAGCCGGCCUGAGAGGGUGACCGGCCACAUUGGGACUGAGAUACGGCCCAGACUCCUACGGGAGGCAGCAGUGGGGAAUAUUGCACAAUGGGCGGAAGCCUGAUGCAGCAACGCCGCGUGCGGGAUGACGGCCUUCGGGUUGUAAACCGCUUUCGCCUGUGACGAAGCGUGAGUGACGGUAAUGGGUAAAGAAGCACCGGCUAACUACGUG